GGGAAAGACUCUGGUGCAGUGGUAGAGCUUUUGAUUUGUGGGCAAAAGAUCCCAGGUUCUAUCCCUGGCAUCCCCA
rnacentral:tRNA from 1 species